rnacentral:rRNA from 1 species
AUUCAGGAAAAGGAUUUUAGUCCUACCUUAAGUUUUUUUAUAAACAAUAUUACACCUAAAGACUUAAGAGCUAUUCAAAUAAGGUACAGCCUAUUUGAAGCAGGAAACAACCUACAACACUGGGUAAUUUUACCUAAGCAAGUGACCAAGUGGGCCUAAAAGCAGCCACCUUUUAAAAAGCGUUAAAGCUUAACCACAAUGCUUUCUAAUUUCCUCAAAACCCAAAAACCCUUAAUCACUACUGAAUGAAUCCAUAACCUUAUGGAUUACCUCAUGCUAGAACUAGUAAUAAGAAGAAGAACUUCUCCUAAAUGCAAGCGUAAGCCGAAACGAACCACUCCCCGGCAAUCAUCGUCUUUGAGCCACUAGUAGUAACAAACCUAGAAAAACCUACUCAUCUCAAUCUUACGUCAACCUUACACCAGAGCAUUUCAGGAAAGAUUAAAAAAAGAGGAAGGAACUCGGCAAAUCAUCAACCCCGCCUGUUUACCAAAAACAUCGCCUCCUGCUACACAUAGGAGGUCCAGCCUGCCCAGUGACCAAGUUAAACGGCCGCGGUACCCUAACCGUGCGAAGGUAGCGCAAUCACUUGUUCUUUAAAUGAGGACUAGUAUGAACGGCAUCACGAGGGUUACACUGUCUCCCCCCUUUAAUCAAUGAAACUGAUCUCCCCGUGAAGAAGCGGGGAUAAAUAUAUAAGACGAGAAGACCCCAUGGAGCUUUAAACCCAGCAUCAACUGCCCAAACUACACCAUAUAAAACAAGCAGAUUCUGAUCCCUGGUUUUCGGUUGGGGUGACCACGGAGCAAAACAAAACCUCCACGACGAAAGGAACACCUUCCUAAUCAAAGAGCUACAACUCAAUGAAUCAACAAAUUGACAUAACUGAUCCAAAUUAUUUUGAUCAACGAACCAAGUUACCCUGGGGAUAACAGCGCAAUCCAUUUCAAGAGCUCCUAUCGACAAAUGGGUUUACGACCUCGAUGUUGGAUCAGGGUAUCCCAGUGGUGCAGCCGCUACUAAAGGUUCGUUUGUUCAACGAUUAAAACCCU